CGGCGGACGGGUGAGUAACACGUGGGCAACCUGCCUGUAAGACUGGGAUAACUCCGGGAAACCGGGGCUAAUACCGGAUAAUGCUUUUCCUCGCAUGAGGAAAAGCUGAAAGAUGGCAUCUGCUAUCACUUACAGAUGGGCCCGCGGCGCAUUAGCUAGUUGGUGAGGUAACGGCUCACCAAGGCGACGAUGCGUAGCCGACCUGAGAGGGUGAUCGGCCACACUGGGACUGAGACACGGCCCAGACUCCUACGGGAGGCAGCAGUAGGGAAUCUUCCGCAAUGGACGAAAGUCUGACGGAGCAACGCCGCGUGAGUGAUGAAGGUUUUCGGAUCGUAAAACUCUGUUGUCAGGGAAGAACAAGUACCGGAGUAACUGCCGGUACCUUGACGGUACCUGACCAGAAAGCCACGGCUAACUACGUGCCAGCAGCCGCGGUAAUACGUAGGUGGCAAGCGUUGUCCGGAAUUAUUGGGCGUAAAGCGCGCGCAGGCGGUUCCUUAAGUCUGAUGUGAAAGCCCCCGGCUCAACCGGGGAGGGUCAUUGGAAACUGGGGAACUUGAGUGCAGAAGAGAAGAGUGGAAUUCCACGUGUAGCGGUGAAAUGCGUAGAGAUGUGGAGGAACACCAGUGGCGAAGGCGACUCUUUGGUCUGUAACUGACGCUGAGGCGCGAAAGCGUGGGGAGCAAACAGGAUUAGAUACCCUGGUAGUCCACGCCGUAAACGAUGAGUGCUAAGUGUUAGAGGGUUUCCGCCCUUUAGUGCUGCAGCAAACGCAUUAAGCACUCCGCCUGGGGAGUACGGCCGCA
rnacentral:rRNA from 2 species